AGAGAACAGAAUGUCAAGGCCCCGGGGCCCUGUGAGGGGGUAACGAGGAGGUGGAGCUAAAAGAGCUGCAGUUGCUUCAGGCGGAAGAGAACUUACUGGAGCGGGAGGACAAGAUGUAAAGAUCAACACCACUUUUGACUGCUUGAAUGGUCAAGUGCUCAUGGAAAAGAUGUGUCUUUAGCCAUUUUUUGAAGACAGAGAGUGUGUCUGCUUCAUGGAAUUGGGAAGGCUAUUCCACCAACGAGCUCUACAAAUAAUAUGAUGUGAACAGAGAACAGCAGUGGGAGGGUGAAGAAAACGAACUCGGGUUCGGUCCAAGCAAUCGAACCAAGCGUGAAAGCACCCUAAGUUUGGCAGUGGAGCCAAUCUCUUGCUGUUCCUCACUAACAUGGUACUAGAUGGACAGAAUUUCACCUCAAGGACUCUGGCAGGGGAUGAGAUUAGAAGAUGUCCUGAGUCAUACUGAACUGUGCGGGUUUGCCAGAGACAUCUCAAUGCUGUGACACUGAACAAUGGAAGAGCCCAGACUGGUAUCGAUUAGAAGAAAGCCAUGAUACUGUUCAUUGAUGGAUUCAUAGCAGGCUGCACCCUGACAUAGGUUUGAGAGGUACAGCAGGUAAUUUAGAGAUCAGAAGAAGGGGCUGGGGAGGUGGUUGUCUUUUCAGGGACUCUUUUUCUGCUCUGAUCUGUUCAUACUUCAGUUUGCAAAAUUCUUCAUAAUCAGCUCAUUUUUCAAAAUGCACUGUUCAGUCGAAGUUUUUGGCUGAUUCAGCCAAAACUGUCUUCCGCAUAUAUUCCUAUACAUUUACAAGUAUGACUUUAACAGACAGCAUAAGGCCUGGUCCACAAUGCUUAUUCGUGCAAACAUUUACUGAUGCUCAAGAAGGCAACACACUAUAUUAAAAAGCAAAGGGGAUGAUAUCACAUAAUGUGUAUGGACUUAAUCAUCAGAAUUUAUAUCUGUUCAAAAGCCAUAAAUACAGAUUAUUUUAAAGACUAGCUAACUUCAAUUAAGUGUUUCAAAUCAAACUCUGAUUAUCUUUCAAAGACCCGAUGCCACUAACCUGACCAAAGCUAGCGAUAAGUUCUUUACUAGAAGUGCUCACUGGAUCAACCAAGUGUACAAGUUUGUUUCUUAGUGGACUAAUAAAAAAACUUCUGUGUUCUUUCUCUGGGAAGUUGCAUAAAGCCAGGCAAUCAGAUUAGAGUUCGCCAGAUUAAUAAAAAGUAAUUUCUAGUUUUGUGUGCAAUAUGCAUCAGACGGUGAGUGAAUGGACAGAGAGUGGACUGGCUGAGGCUGAGGCUAAACAAAUGCUGAUCACAACCAAUUUAGGGUAUAGAAUGCAUCAAGAAAUAAAUAUAGGCAAUAGGUUUGUCAUAUUUGUCCUCACUUCUGGAAAUCAAUACAGUCCAUUGCAUUGGUAAUUAGACCUGCAUGUAAUCUGAUGAGGUGGUUCCCUGUAAUGAGGACACAGUAUAGGUUGCAGAUUCCCAUAGAGGAGAUUGAGAGUUUGAAUUUCAAAGAGAAUAUGCAAUAUAUUCAUGGUCUUUCUUCUCUUUUAUUCAUAGAUUCAGAAUCCUGCUGGUGAGCCCAUUUUUGUUCAGCACAAUUUGUGUCAUAAUGGAUUAUCUCACUUAAUCUGGCUGCAACACCACAUGCUGCAUCUGUAGCACAUUACUGCAUAUACCUUCUUUUUACCACAACUUUUCAGAACAAUAACGUGUCAAAACUAAUUAUAUACCAAACGUACUAAAUUAUGCUUUGAUUUUAGUGGUAAUUAUGCUCAAUUAUUGUUAAUUAUGAAUAAAGUUUGGUUGAAUGAUAACUGUUUCUGCAAGAAUUUUAAGGUUGUAAGGUGCUUAAGUUAUAAUUAAGCAAUA